GCGGGCGUGGCGGAAUUGGCAGACGCACCAGAUUUAGGUUCUGGCGCCGAAAGGCGUGGGGGUUCGAGACCCUCCGCCCGCACCA
rnacentral:tRNA from 1 species